UUCGGUCAUGGUGCGCGGGGGUACAGCGGCGCCGUCGCCGCCACCAGUGUCAGAGCUGAACGGUGCCGCUUCUUGCACGGCUGAUCAAGGC
rnacentral:tRNA from 1 species